GAUCAACGCUGGCGGCGUGCCUAACGCAUGUAAGUCGUACGCACCCUCUUCGGAGGGUGAGUGGCGAACGGCUGAGGAACACGUACGAACCUGCCCGCUUGUGAGGAAUAACGCACCGAAAGGUGUGCUAAUACCGCGUACGCUCGGCCUUUGGUCGAGCAAAGCCGCCAGGCGCAGGCGGAGGGGCGUGCGGCCCAUCAGGUUGUUGGUGGGGUAAUGGCCUACCAAGCCGACGACGGGUAGCUGGUCUGUGAGGACGAUCAGCCAGACUGGGACUGCGACACGGCCCAGACACCUACGGGUGGCAGCAGCGAGGAAUCUUCCACAAUGGGCGAAAGCCCGAUGGAGCAACGCCGCGUGGAGGACGACGGCCUUCGGGUUGUAAACUCCUUUCGGGGGGGAUGACAAGGACAGUACCCCCAGAAGCAGCCCCGGCUAACUCUGUGCCAGCAGCCGCAGUAAGAC
rnacentral:rRNA from 1 species